AACGAACGCUGGCGGCAUGCCUAACACAUGCAAGUCGAACGAGACCUUCGGGUCUAGUGGCGCACGGGUGCGUAACGCGUGGGAACCUGCCCUUAGGUUCGGAAUAACUCCCCGAAAGGGGUGCUAAUACCGGAUAAUGUCUUCGGACCAAAGAUUUAUCGCCUUUGGAUGGGCCCGCGUUGGAUUAGCUAGUUGGUAGGGUAAAAGCCUACCAAGGCGACGAUCCAUAGCUGGUCUGAGAGGAUGAUCAGCCACACUGGGACUGAGACACGGCCCAGACUCCUACGGGAGGCAGCAGUGGGGAAUAUUGGACAAUGGGCGAAAGCCUGAUCCAGCAAUGCCGAGUGAGUGAUGAAGGCCUUAGGGUUGUAAGGCUCUUUUACCCGGGAUGAUAAUGACAGUACCGGGAGAAUAAGCUCCGGCUAACUCCGUG
rnacentral:rRNA from 1 species